rnacentral:lncRNA from 1 species
GGCGAGGUAGGUCCAUUGGACGAUGAGAAAGAGGAGGAUGUCGGUGGCGACCCUGCUCGUGGGCGACGAAGCAGCUCGGCGAUGGCGGUGGCGGUUGCGGCGUUGGCGGCUAGGGUUGGAGAAAUGGGGGGCGGGGAGGACGAAUGGCUGGGGGCUGACGAGGGAGUGGGGGGAAUGGAUAUAUUUAGCUGAGUUUUUUGGCGGCUUUUUUUUCGCGACGACGCGGGGAAAUGAGUUUUGGCGCGGUCCAAAUUGUUUUUUUGCGGCUUUGUUUCUGGGCUCUGGUUUAAUUAAAUCUUGUCCCUUACUCAACAAAUACACUUGAACAACGCAAUGGUAAGGGUGUUUGAGUUAUUCCUGGAGCUCCAGGUUCGAACCCAAGGGAGUUAGAUUUUUUGACUUUUUUUUGUGUAUGUUCUUUUUUUGCUAAAUUUUCGAUUAGAUAUUAUUGCUUAUUGAUUAUGACAUAAAACUUUUGAGUGAUUUUAAGAUGCACAAGCUCACAAAAUUGCACUAUAGAUCCUCUAAAAGCAUGAACAUCUCUCACUUAGUGACUAGGUUACAUGUGACAUAUGUAUGAUCUUGUCAGAUUGACCAAUUCCUUCGAAUCAGUUGAAACUUUUUUGUCAUCACUAUGCACCAAAAUGAGGCGUGCAUGCAAGUUUUUAGAUUUUUCUAGCUAGCUUAGG